rnacentral:rRNA from 1 species
UACGUAGGGUACGAGCGUUAAUCGGAAUUACUGGGCGUAAAGCGUGCGCAGGCGGUUAUGUAAGACAGUUGUGAAAUCCCCGGGCUCAACCUGGGAACUGCAUCUGUGACUGCAUAGCUAGAGUACGGUAGAGGGGGAUGGAAUUCCGCGUGUAGCAGUGAAAUGCGUAGAUAUGCGGAGGAACACCGAUGGCGAAGGCAAUCCCCUGGACCUGUACUGACGCUCAUGCA